GAAACGCGAUAGUUAAUGUGAAUUGCAGAAUUCAGUGAAUCAUCGAGUCUUUGAACGCACAUUGCGCCCAUAGGUAUUCCUUUGGGCAUGUCUGUUUGAGCGUCAUUACAACCCUCAGCUAACCGCUGGUUUUGAACCUGAACGGGUGACACCGCGCCGGUUUUAAAGUUGUAAGCUCUGCUGGCCGCUCUGCCCAACCAGAACAUAGUAAGCACUACUUGUCCGGGUGAAGCUGAACGGUACGGCCUGAACAAAACCUACCCACUCUCAAGGUUUGACCUCAGAUCAGACAAUGAUACCCGCUGAACUUAAGC
rnacentral:misc_RNA from 1 species